rnacentral:rRNA from 1 species
GCCGAACGCUGGCGGCGUGCUUAACACAUGCAAGUCGACCGGAAAGGCCCUGCUUUUGUGGGGUGCUCGCGUGGCGCACGGGUGCGUAACACGUGAGUAACCUGCCCUUGACUUUAGGCUAUCUUCAGGCAACUUGGUCUACUACCGCAUAGGAUCUCCUGCUCCAUGGGGGGUGUUGGAACGUUUCGGUGGUUGGGGAUGGACUUGCGGCUUUUCAGCUGGUUGGUCGGGUAGUGGCUUACCAAGGCUUUUACGGGUAGCCGGCCUGAGAGUGUGACCGGCCACAUUGGUACUGAGCUCCGGCCCAGCCUCCUACGGGCGGCAGCAGUGGGGAAUAUUGCACAAUGGGCCGAAGCCUGAUGAAGCAACGCCGCGCUCGGGAUGACGACCUUCGGGCUGUAAACCGCUUUCGCAUGUGAAGAAGCCUGAGUGACGGUAAUGGGUAAAGAAGCACCGGCUAACUACGUG